rnacentral:rRNA from 1 species
CAAUUUAAACAACGAAGAGUUUGAUCCUGGCUCAGGAUGAACGCUAGCGACAGGCUUAACACAUGCAAGUCGAGGGGCAGCACAGGUAGCAAUACCGGGUGGCGACCGGCGCACGGGUGAGUAACGCGUAUGCAACUUACCUAUCAGAGGGGGAUAACCCGGCGAAAGUCGGACUAAUACCGCAUGAAGCAGGGGCCCCGCAUGGGGAUAUUUGCUAAAGAUUCAUCGCUGAUAGAUAGGCAUGCGUUCCAUUAGGCAGUUGGCGGGGUAACGGCCCACCAAACCGACGAUGGAUAGGGGUUCUGAGAGGAAGGUCCCCCACAUUGGUACUGAGACACGGACCAAACUCCUACGGGAGGCAGCAGUGAGGAAUAUUGGUCAAUGGGCGUAAGCCUGAACCAGCCAAGUCGCGUGAGGGAUGAAGGUUCUAUGGAUCGUAAACCUCUUUUAUAAGGGAAUAAAGUGCGGGACGUGUCCCGUUUUGUAUGUACCUUAUGAAUAAGGAUCGGCUAACUCCGUGCCAGCAGCCGCGGUAAUACGGAGGAUCCGAGCGUUAUCCGGAUUUAUUGGGUUUAAAGGGUGCGUAGGCGGCCUUUUAAGUCAGCGGUGAAAGUCUGUGGCUCAACCAUAGAAUUGCCGUUGAAACUGGGAGGCUUGAGUAUGUUUGAGGCAGGCGGAAUGCGUGGUGUAGCGGUGAAAUGCUUAGAUAUCACGCAGAACCCCGAUUGCGAAGGCAGCCUGCCAAGCCAUGACUGACGCUGAUGCACGAAAGCGUGGGGAUCAAACAGGAUUAGAUACCCUGGUAGUCCACGCAGUAAACGAUGAUCACUAGCUGUUUGCGAUACAGUGUAAGCGGCACAGCGAAAGCGUUAAGUGAUCCACCUGGGGAGUACGCCGGCAACGGUGAAACUCAAAGGAAUUGACGGGGGCCCGCACAAGCGGAGGAACAUGUGGUUUAAUUCGAUGAUACGCGAGGAACCUUACCCGGGUUUGAACGCAUUCGGACCGAGGUGGAAACACCUUUUCUAGCAAUAGCCGUUUGCGAGGUGCUGCAUGGUUGUCGUCAGCUCGUGCCGUGAGGUGUCGGCUUAAGUGCCAUAACGAGCGCAACCCUUGCCACUAGUUACUAACAGGUGAUGCUGAGGACUCUGGUGGGACUGCCAGCGUAAGCUGCGAGGAAGGCGGGGAUGACGUCAAAUCAGCACGGCCCUUACAUCCGGGGCGACACACGUGUUACAAUGGCGUGGACAAAGGGAAGCCACCUGGCGACAGGGAGCGAAUCCCCAAACCACGUCUCAGUUCGGAUCGGAGUCUGCAACCCGACUCCGUGAAGCUGGAUUCGCUAGUAAUCGCGCAUCAGCCAUGGCGCGGUGAAUACGUUCCCGGGCCUUGUACACACCGCCCGUCAAGCCAUGGGAGCCGGGGGUACCUGAAGUCCGUAACCGCGAGGAUCGGCCUAGGGUAAAACUGGUGACUGGGGCUAAGUCGUAACAAGGUAGCCGUACCGGAAGGUGCGGCUGGAACACCUCCUUUCU